rnacentral:rRNA from 1 species
AUUGAACGCUGGCGGUAGGCUUAACACAUGCAAGUCGAGCGGUAACAGACAUUUUGAUUUUGCUUGCAAAAUCUCGUGCUGACGAGCGGCGAACGGGUGAGUAACGCGUAGGAAUCUACCUAGUAGAAGGGGAUAGCCCGAGGAAACUCGGAUUAAUACCGUAUACGUCCUUAGGGAGAAAGAGGGCUUAGCUUUGAUGCUCUCGCUAUUAGAUGAGCCUGCGUAAGAUUAGCUUGUUGGUGAGGUAAAGGCUCACCAAGGCGACGAUCUUUAGCUGGUCUGAGAGGACGAUCAGCCACAUUGGGACUGAGACACGGCCCAGACUCCUACGGGAGGCAGCAGUGGGGAAUAUUGGACAAUGGGCGCAAGCCUGAUCCAGCCAUACCGCGUGUGUGAAGAAGGCCUUCGGGUUGUAAAGCACUUUAAGUAAGGAAGAAAAGAGUAUUGUUAAUACCAAUACUCCGUGACAUUACUUACAGAAUAAGGACCGGCUAAUUCCGUGCCAGCAGCCGCGGUAAUACGGAAGGUCCAAGCGUUAAUCGGAAUUACUGGGCGUAAAGCGCGCGUAGGUGGUUUAUUAAGUUGGGUGUGAAAGCCCCGGGCUCAACCUGGGAACUGCAUCCAAAACUGAUUCACUAGAGUACGAAAGAGGAAAGUAGAAUUCACAGUGUAGCGGUGGAAUGCGUAGAUAUUGUGAAGAAUACCGAUGGCGAAGGCAGCUUUCUGGUUCUGUACUGACACUGAGGUGCGAAAGCGUGGGUAGCGAACAGGAUUAGAUACCCUGGUAGUCCACGCCGUAAACGAUGACAACUAGCUGUUGGGAAGCUAUGCUUUUCAGUGGCGCAGCUAACGUCUUAAGUUGUCCGCCUGGGGAGUACGGCCGCAAGGCUA